rnacentral:misc_RNA from 1 species
AGAAAAAAAAGAAAAAAAAAAGUAGUUUGUUUAACUACUUUUAUUAGUUGAAUAGUUGAUUCAUUUUACAAAAUUUUAAUAAUAAGAACAGAAAUAUAUUUGUCUGGCAAUAGUUGUCAUCCCAUUAUUAUUAUUUGAAUUAUAAUAAGGGAAAUAUUAUUGUGCUGAUGUAUAUGAUUGAUUAUGACUUAUAUUUGCUGUUUUUUAAUCAACUUGUAAGCUUGUAGGGCUACUU